GCCUAGUUCCACAAGAGGCGCCAUUACCACGGUCGAUUUUGGGUCGUGACACAUGAUUUAUAGACUUGCCUCAUCCUCUUCUUCAAAAAUAUAGCACUAUACGAUCAACAAGUAUAAAUAGUAGCAAGAAUGUGAAGGUCGUAAAACAGAGUAGAGGAAUAAAAGAUACAAUUCACAAUAUGACACUAGUUUCAUCAAUUUCAAUCUCCUCCAUAGUUUUUCCAAUUCAUCGAGAAAAUCAAGAAUCUUCAAAUAAACUUAAUUGGUUGUGCAUUUGGAAUUACACAGCAGGUCCAACCCUACUAGAAACAUGUAAAACAGUCAUGCCAUGAUCAUAAUUAUAAGCUGCAAGAAAUAUUGGACCAUUGCUAGGGAAAAAAAAGAUGCAUUCAGUAAUGCAUAGUGUUAGAACAUAAACAAUAGCCUUCUUCCUUGAGUUUCCUCCUAGGCUGCCUAACAUAAAGAAGGAUAAAGGUAGGACAUAAUUUUAAAUAUUUAAUUAUUAUUCCUAAUUGAUUAGAGAACAAUCCACCUUAGUUGCAACAGAAAUAAUCAAGUUCUCCGUAUACGAAAUUUGUAAAGAGUAAUUUCUUUCUUUAUGCUAAGUUAAAACCUUUUUCUCAAAUCAAGUCCUGGUGAAUACAAUGAAAUUGCAAAUGACUAAGUGAUCUUUAACAAAAUCAGUAGAUCAAGUGAAUUAUAUAGUUUUGUUUUAAUGGUUUCCGAUAAUCCAGUAUGCGUCUCAAUCUAAAAUUAGAUUCUCAACCACCCUGUCAUUGAUAAUCGACUUCCAAUUAGGCAAAUUUAGCAGAACCUCAAACAAGAGAACCAGAGGCAGCAAAUAUAGACGUAAUCCUAGCCAGAAUCCUUCCAAGAUGAAAUAAGCUAAAAUAGCAAUGUUUUGUUUCCCCAUAACACUUCAUACAAGAUCUUUCCUUAAAGUAUGUCAUGUAAUAAGGAAGAUAAGAUACUACACUAAAUAUCAACAGCUCCGGUAUUUAAGACAAGUAUCUAUAAACUGAUUGACUUAUAGAAACUGGGCUUAUGGGUCAAGAAAAUAUAUACUAUGACCUGCUGCAUUUGGUACGACUUUCUCUUUGCAGAUCAAAGGUUUCAUUUCUUAUUGGUUAAUAUAUGGAUAUUUCUUUUUAUGUGUUUAAAUCCCUACUGUACAUUCAACAAUAAAGGUUUCUAUUAAAGCAGAGAAUUACCUCUUUUUCUCCAUCUCAUGUUUCAGUGUAUUAGCAAGAGUUUUCUCUCCACACUUGCGAUAUCCUGGGACAAAAGAAAGAGCCUUUACUUUAUGUAAAGCUCACACAUUCUAACAACGCAAGUAUAAUUGGUAGCACCCAAAUAUACAAGUGGAACUACCAACCUGCACUAGCAGCUUAUAAAAAAGUAGUGAUUGAAUGAUAAUUGGUAGUACAAGUAAGGCUUUAUGGAUGCACGACACACAGAUUUAUUCUUGAAAUCCCUUAAAUAUUGCAAAGAGUUUCUUCUUCUGGUGUUUUGUCACUUGUAAUUACUACAACACUCUGAUAAAAAAAAAUGCUUCAUCAUUUCAUUAGUGCUAGCUUUAUAAUACAAUUAGUUUUCUCUAAACAUGGAUUUACUUCUUGAACCUCAAUAUUCCUUAGUGAAAGACACUAAGAUUUAUCAAUAAAACUAAGGAACAAAAGGGUCACUAUAGUUUUAAUUUUAAAAAGGCAACUAAUCCUCUUAUGCUCCUAGUUGAAAUCACAGUAAUGAUUAGAUUUCACUUAAUUUUCUAAGAGAACAGAUAACACCUAAUCUCACAAAACAUUCAAUUCCUUGGAACCCAAAAUAUUUAUUGAAACAAGAAACAAACACAAUAUCUUCCUCAAGAUGAACAAUAGUAAUACUCACAUCACUAGAUGUAACUAUUUCCACUCUGAGUUUCCAUCACUAUUGAUUUUAAAAUCAGUACAAUUGAAUUGCAUUAAUUCAAUUUUCAAACAUAGAUGCUAAAAAUAUGAAUUUAGACAGAGCAGGAACUAACUUACAAUGAGAUGUGAGAAUCAAAGUAACAUAACCAAAGAGAGAUCCGCAAAGCCAGAAGUAGCCUAUUCUUUAGUAGUAUUACAACCCAAAAAAUAUAGCCAAAGUAGCUGCUAAAAACUACAUCUAUCCCAAUUCCAAAAAGCACAAAUAUACCAAAAAAUAAGUAAAUUAUAGUCACGAUCUGCUUGUGAAUCUACAAUCAAUAGAAAGGAACAUAAUUAAAAAAAGGUAAAAUAGAAAUACCAACCGUAUAAGAGAUGAGACCAUUGAUUAGACUGGAAUGGAGCUAUAAGUACUGAUGUGGAUGAACCACACUAUCUUUAUUUAGAACCUGUAAGAAAAUGGUUAAUUUGUUGCCCUAAUUUUUUCUUUGAAAAAUUUGUCGAUGCUGAUUAGGACAUGCUAACUAAAAACCUAAAUCGAAGCAUUCAAGGAAUUGAAACCCUAAAUUAGAAACAACUAAAACUAGAGAUGAAGGAGCUUACGAUUUCAAGCCAUAGCCCCAACACUGGAAGAUAAGGUUGUCGCUCAUUUGAACCUCUUAACACAAAGCACGAGUCCAAGGGUUGAACUAAUUGGGGAAGGUGAGAGCCAAAAUAAAAAUAAAAAAGGGCAGGUAUUCUUUAGGAGGCCACAAGUCAAAUAAUUUAUUGAGAAAAAUAAAUAUUUUACCAACAAGAAAAUAUUUU
rnacentral:lncRNA from 1 species